rnacentral:rRNA from 1 species
GUUUGAUCAUGGCUCAGAUUGAACGCUGGCGGCAGGCCUAACACAUGCAAGUCGAGCGGUAGAGAGGUGCUUGCACCUCUUGAGAGCGGCGGACGGGUGAGUAAUGCCUAGGAAUCUGCCUGGUAGUGGGGGAUAACGCUCGGAAACGGACGCUAAUACCGCAUACGUCCUACGGGAGAAAGCAGGGGACCUUCGGGCCUUGCGCUAUCAGAUGAGCCUAGGUCGGAUUAGCUAGUUGGUGGGGUAAUGGCUCACCAAGGCGACGAUCCGUAACUGGUCUGAGAGGAUGAUCAGUCACACUGGAACUGAGACACGGUCCAGACUCCUACGGGAGGCAGCAGUGGGGAAUAUUGGACAAUGGGCGAAAGCCUGAUCCAGCCAUGCCGCGUGUGUGAAGAAGGUCUUCGGAUUGUAAACCACUUUAAGUUGGGAGGAAGGGCAUUAACCUAAUACGUUAGUG